CCAGAUUGGUGCUUGUCAAGUAGGACUAGACUGGCCAAUUACUGAACUUCAGAAUUUCACCAGUCUCUACUUCCCAAGCUCUGGAAUUAAAGGCAUGCACACUACACCUGACUAUUAAAGUUGGCGAUCUUUCCCCAAGGGACUCUGAGAGUUCAGAAAAAAGGAGAAACAAUGAAGCAAGUGAUGGUCAGGCAUCUGGAAGUAUCCAUGGAGGUGAAAUCCGCACCUUACACUGAAACAAGCAGCUAGCUGACCUCCAGGCUUCUAGAGAGCAUCCUGUCCCGGCUUCCCAUCUCACAAUAGGAGUGGCGGGAUUACCGAUGCAUGCUACCCCACUCAGCUUUACAUUUGUUCCGGGAGUCUAAGCUCAGGUCCUCACACUUGGACAAGUUCUUUACCCAGAAAGCAAUGUCCCCGGGGCUACGGCCUCCGUUUUUUUGAAGUAGGAAGUGUUUGUAGCACACUUACCAGGCACCAGGCAUA